rnacentral:rRNA from 1 species
CCCUUAGAUGUCCUGGGCUGCACGCGCGCUACACUGAUGUGUCCAGUAAGCACCUAACCUAUUCCGAGAGGAGCGGGUAACCUUAGCAAAGCACAUCGUGAUGGGGAUAGAUUAUUGCAAUUAUUAGUCUUGAACGGGGAAUUCCUAGUAAGCACAAGUCAUCAGCUUGUGUUGAUUACGUCCCUGCCCUUUGUACACACCGCCCGUCGCUCCUACCGAUUGAAUGUUCCGGUGAGCUCUUCGGACUGCGCGGUCUGCAGUUUCUGCGUUCCGUGCGGAAAGUUGUGCAAACCUUAACAUUUAGAGGAAGGAGAAGUCGUAACA